CCCUAGCCCUGAUGGGAGGGAAAAUCCUUUUGUGCCGGGGUUCGGCGCAAAAGAUUUGGAAGGACAGCAGGAAAUAGC
rnacentral:sRNA from 3 species